CCUCAGCCUCUGAUAAUUUAUUCUUAUCGACCAAAAAGAAAUAAUCAACUUUGUAGCUGAUAUGAAAUAUACGAGUAGGAUUUUUGAGAAACAAUUCAUCAAUGAAGCUUUAAUGACAAAGGUACCAAAAAAAGAAAAAAGAAGAAAGAGAGAAGAUGGACACAAGAAUGAAAAAGUGAAUGGGGCGAUAACAUGUUUAGGGCGGCAUGUAUCGUAUUAAAUGGCAACCAUCGAGUGGUCAAAUAAUUUGGUACAAAAAGAAGGAGGCCCAACAAGCAAGUUGAGAAGUUCAUUCAAUGUGAUUACGUGUUUACAACAAGGUUUUGUAACGUUCACUUUCAAUGCAAAGGCAACUUGGCAAGUUGAAGAAAACUACAUCUGGGACAGGAUUUCCUGAGAUUUUGAUACAAUCAGAAUGAUGUAGAGGUCAUAUAAAAACACUGGGACAUUCAGUUACCUUUGAUUUCAUUUUUGGGGGUUUUUGGAUGGUGCAGAUUUGGAGAAGAUAGAUCUUGCUGUGUGUACAAUGAGGCUGGAGCACUUACACUCUGGUCUCAGAAAAAUGGGUUGAGGAGACAGCCAAGCCUUCCAUGUCAUAAGUGCGAACCAGUCUCUGCCUUUUCCCAGGUGAUUCAAGCCAACAGAACUCCAGGUGGAAUGACUUGGAUUCUGCCACGCUCUUUGCGAUAUCAGAUGGAUAUCCCAUGUACAUGCCACCAGGCAGUAAGGUCAUCUGGAAACCCCCUUCAAACGUAGCCAAGUUGCCUGACAAGGCACCGGUCCAAUGUACAUUAGUGGUGACAUCUCCUCCUCCAGAUGUGGAUGUUGAAGAAAUAUCCUG